rnacentral:rRNA from 1 species
AUUGAACGCUGGCGGCAUGCUUUACACAUGCAAGUCGAACGGCAGCGCGGGCUUCGGCCUGGCGGCGAGUGGCGAACGGGUGAGUAAUGCAUCUGAACGUGCCCAGUAGUGGGGGAUAGCCCGGCGAAAGCCGGAUUAAUACCGCAUACGACCUGAGGGUGAAAGCGGGGGACCGAAAGGCCUCGCGCUAUUGGAGCGGCCGAUGUCGGAUUAGCUAGUUGGUGGGGUAAAGGCUUACCAAGGCGACGAUCCGUAGCUGGUCUGAGAGGACGACCAGCCACACUGGGACUGAGACAGGGCCCAGACUCCUACGGGAGGCAGCAGUGGGGAAUUUUGGACAAUGGGGGCAACCCUGAUCCAGCCAUGCCGCGUGCGGGAAGAAGGCCUUCGGGUUGUAAACCGCUUUUGUUCGGGAAGAAAUCCUCUGGGCUAAUACCCCGGGGGGAUGACGGUACCGGAAGAAUAAGCACCGGCUAACUACGUG